rnacentral:rRNA from 1 species
CGCUGGCGGCGUGCCUAACACAUGCAAGUCGAACGAAGCACUGUGGAAAGAGACUCGGUCAAUUGAAACUUGACUUAGUGGCGGACGGGUGAGUAAUGCAUGAGCAACCUGCCCUGGAGAGGGGGACAACAGCUGGAAACGGCUGCUAAUACCGCAUGAUGUUGCGGGGAGGCAUCUUCCUGCAACCAAAGAUUUAUCGCUCUGGGAUGGGCUCAUGUCUGAUUAGAUAGUUGGCGGGGCAACGGCCCACCAAGUCUGCGAUCAGUAGCCGGACUGAGAGGUUGAACGGCCACAUUGGGACUGAGAUACGGCCCAGACUCCUACGGGAGGCAGCAGUGGGGAAUAUUGGGCAAUGGGCGCAAAGCCUGACCCAGCAACGCCGCGUGAAGGAAGAAGGCUUUCGGGUUGUAAACUUCUUUUAUCAGGGACGAAGAACGUGACGGUACCUGAUGAAUAAGCCACGGCUAACUACGUGCCAGCCGCGGC